UUCAGAGCCAACAACAAGUCCAACAAGGUACAAGUGCAGAACAACACACCCACCAACGACGCGCCCAAAGAAAAGUUGCCUCGCGGUCGACCACCGAAGCAUAAACGCGUUGAAGUUAUGAAAAAUGAGCAUUGUUCGGACGAGGAGUCGUCAUCUAGCGCGGCGGGGUGCGGCGGCGCCGGCGGCGGCAAGCGGUGGCGGGGC